rnacentral:rRNA from 1 species
UACGUAGGGGGCAAGCGUUGUCCGGAUUUAUUGGGCGUAAAGAGCGUGUAGGCGGCCAGGUAGGUCUGGUGUGAAAACUCGAGGCUCAACCUCGAGAGGUCAUCGGAAACCAUCUGGCUAGAGUCCGGAAGAGGAGAGUGGAAUUCCCGGUGUAGCGGUGAAAUGCGCAGAUAUCGGGAAGAACACCUAUGGCGAAGGCAGCUCUCUGGGACGGUACUGAUGCUGAGACGCGAAAGCGUGGGGAGCGAACAGG